AUGUUCCCAUGAGUUCCCUUUAACGCUUCAUUGUUAAUACUCAAAAACCACAUUUAUAUUUUCUUAAAUGUUUUGAUUGAUUUGUAUAUAACACUGAAGUGUUUGGGGGGGACUCUUGGUACCAU
rfam:Arabis alpina cultivar Pajares chromosome 1, whole genome shotgun sequence.